AGGGUCAUCGCUAUGGCAGCCAACAGAAGGUCCUGAUGUUGACGCUGUAUAAAACGAUGGGAAAGCGCGCGUAUUCUUAUUUACGUCAAAUUUUUUCACAUAUGCCAUCUAUUCAAACGUUGCAUUUAGCGCUUCAGAAAAUACCAGUCUCCGCAGGUUUGAACACUUUUAUUUUGAGACACUUGGAAUCUAUAGCUCCAAAGAUGUCAGUGAAAAAUUGAAAAGUGUGCAUUCUUAUGUGAAACGAGGUGUCUAUUCAACCCAAGAUCACAUAUGAUAACCGUAAGGAUAUCAUAUGUGGACUUGAGGAUUGGGGCAAUAAUCGCACCGGAAAGAUGGCUGAUCACGUUUUGGUAUUUAUGCUUCGCGGAUUAUACACGGGCUGGAAGAUGCCCAUUUCUUAUAAUUUUUGUUGCAAACAAACAAAUACAGCGCAAUUAGUGCGUUGUAUUAAAGAACAUGUUUCCAAAAUUAACGAUCUAGGCUUUCACAUCGUUGCAACAGUUUGUGACCAGGGAUCUUCGAACAUGGCUGCAAUAAAGAAACUGCUACUGCGUACGGACAUGAAACGCAAGUCUUCUGAAAGAACUCAGAAUCAAACGUUUGAAGUGGGGCAAUAUGUAAUUGUUCCCUUAUAUGACGGACCACAUCUCAUCAAAGGCGUGAGGAAUAACUUAUUAACAAAGAACUUAGCGAUGAGCUGCGAGAAUGGCGUACCAGCGAAAGUUGCAUCGUGGGACAUAAUUAAGACUGCGUGGAUUAUGGACAGAGAGACACACAAAAUUCGACCGCAAUUAAAAAAAAUUAAAUGUGAGGACAUUAUGGAGGAUAAAAUUAAGAAAAUGCGUGUGAAAUAUGCCGUUCAAGUGUUAAGUGGUACAAUGGCAAGCUGCAUUGAAACAUUGGCCACAUCAAAUUAUGACACAAUUAUUUAUGUAACAUAAAAAUAUAUGUUACGAAAUGUUGUUCGCCACGAAGACAAGGACUUAAAAAUAGAGGAAAACGAAGGACUUGCCACCGCGGAAAGUGUUAACUUUUUCAACGACUUAUUUGACAGUGUGAAUGGAAGUGAUAAAGAGUGUGUUGAAGACAAUGACCUGCGACAAGCGAUCGGGAAGGCAUGCCUUCAGGUCGGAGGAGGAGGGGAUGAGACUGGAGGAAAGAUGUGACGUCUUUAGCCUAGCGCCG
rnacentral:misc_RNA from 1 species